rnacentral:rRNA from 1 species
GACGAACGCUGGCGGCGUGCUUAACACAUGCAAGUCGAACGGAAAGGCCCUGCUUUUGUGGGGUGCUCGAGUGGCGAACGGGUGAGUAACACGUGAGUAACCUGCCCUUGACUUUGGGAUAACUUCAGGAAACUGGGGCUAAUACCGGAUAGGAGCUCCUGCUGCAUGGUGGGGGUUGGAAAGUUUCGGCGGUUGGGGAUGGACUCGCGGCUUAUCAGCUUGUUGGUGGGGUAGUGGCUUACCAAGGCUUUGCCGGGUCGCCGGCCUGAGAGGGUGACCGGCCACCUUGGGACUGAGCUACGGCCCAGACUCCUACGGGGGGCAGCAGUGGGGAAUUUUGCACAAUGGGCGGAAGCCUGAUGCAGCAACGCCGCGUGCGGGAUGACGGCCUUCGGGUUGUAAACCGCUUUCGCCUGUGACGAAGCGUGAGUGACGCUAAUGGGUAAAGAAGCACCGGCUCACUACGUG